CUGGCUUUUAACUUUGACAGCGCCGUUUGUUUUCAAAUUACGACGAGCUCGACUAGAUUCAUCGUUUUCUUUCUCCGCGGAAGUGGACUGGGCGUCGGAAUUACAGAUCAGAACUGACAAUGCAUUCGUGAAUUUGUUUUUUAAUCUAUUCGUAGGUAGGGUGGCAAAGUUUACUCAACCUACAGCCGGAAGAUAGAAGAAAAACUGUUCCGCAUCUCUAACAGCAGCAGUGGAGAACCUACAACAAACUUCGAACCACCAGCUCAUCCGGGACAAUUCGAAUCGACAGCCACCUUUCAUGCUGUACCAGGUAACGGAACAAUUUUCACUACUACAGCAACCGGAGGAUUGGAGAAGGAAAACCCGGAAGUGAUAAUGGUAUCGAAAUAUAUUACACCGGAAGGAGGAGAAAAAGUAUGCUGUCGAAUCAGCAGCCACCCGCCCUGUCAACAGAUAAAACCAAUAGAGAACAGCUGUGGAAGUAUGCAGAUAGAAAACCCAUACUGUCACUCCCAGGUUUUUCAUAAGUUGCUAUCUCCACCGCCAUGAAAUACUCACUGAUUGGGUGAAACAUUUCUCAUGGCUGGGUACUGCCGAAAGGUCGAACAAGGUUAGUAGCUGUGCAAAGAAGGAAGAAGAUAGGCUUGAGAAGUCACCAAGUCACUGCUAGACGAUACACUCCAAGGCAUCAGCAAAAAAUCUUCCAGGAUUUUGCUUCCGGGAAACUCUUUUUCUGUGGAGUAAGUAUCGUUCACUUGAAUUGAUAGGCUAACGAAAGAUGUUACCGACAGAGUCCACAGGCUCAAAAAGCAAGGAAAAAUAAUCAUUUUAUCAAAUCCACCGAAACAGUAAUCAUGUGUGCCCAAAAAGUCGUUUUAAAAAGAUGUGACGAAGCACAAUAGUCUACCGAAUACCUGUCGAUUCCAUAUUCUAUGAAAAAACACCUUUUGUUACACACAUUUUCUCAAUUACAUGAACACUAAUUUAUUUUUUUGU